UCCAGACUCCUACGGGAGGCAGCAGUGAGGAAUAUUGGUCAAUGGGCUUACGCCUGAACCAGCCAAGUCGCGUGAGGGAAGACUGCCCUAUGGGUUGUAAACCUCUUUUGUCAGGGAGCAAUUGGCGCUACGUGUAGCGUUAUCGAGAGUACCUGAAGAAAAAGCAUCGGCUAACUCCGUGCCAGCAUCCGCGGUAAUACGGAGGAUGCGAGCGUUAUCCGGAUUUACUGGGUGUAAAGGGCGUGUAGGCGGGAGUGCAAGUCAGAUGUGAAAACCACGGGCUCAACCUGUGGCCUGCAUUUGAAACUGUACUUCUUGAGUACUGGAGAGGCAGACGGAAUUCCUAGUGUAGCGGUGAAAUGCGUAGAUAUUAGGAGGAACACCAGUGGCGAAGGCGGUCUGCUGGACAGCAACUGACGCUGAGGCGCGAAAGCGUGGGGAGCAAACAGGAUUAGAUACCCUAGUA
rnacentral:rRNA from 1 species